GAUGAACGCUGGCGGCGUGCCUAAUACAUGCAAGUCGAGCGAACAGAUGAGGAGCUUGCUCCUCUGACGUUAGCGGCGGACGGGUGAGUAACACGUGGAUAACCUACCUAUAAGACUUGGAUAACUUCGGGAAACCGGAGCUAAUACCGGAUAAUAUAUUGAGCCGCAUGGUUCAAUAGUGAAAGACGGUUUUGCUGUCACUUAUAGAUGGAUCCGCGCCGCAUUAGCUAGUUGGUAAGGUAACGGCUUACCAAGGCAACGAUGCGUAGCCGACCUGAGAGGGUGAUCGGCCACACUGGAACUGAGACACGGUCCAGACUCCUACGGGAGGCAGCAGUAGGGAAUCUUCUGCAAUGGGCGAAAGCCUGACGGAGCAACGCCGCGUGAGUGAUGAAGGUCUUCGGAUCGUAAAACUCUGUUAUUAGGGAAGAACAAAUGUGUAAGUAACUAUGCACGUCUUGACGGUACCUAAUCAGAAAGCCACGGCUAACUACGUG
rnacentral:rRNA from 1 species